AUUGAACGCUGGCGGCAGGCCUAACACAUGCAAGUCGAACGAGUGGCGGACGGGUGAGUAAUUUCUGGGAAACUGCCUGAUGGAGGGGGAUAACUACUGGAAACGGUAGCUAAUACCGCAUACCAUCGGAUGUGCCCAGAUGGGAUUAGCUAGUAGGUGGGGUAACGGCUCACCUAGGCGACGAUCCCUAGCUGGUCUGAGAGGAUGACAAGCAACACUGGACCUGAGACACGGGCCAGACUCCUACGGGAGGCAGCAGUGGGGAGUAUUGCAACAUGGGCACAAGCCUGAUACAGCCAUGCCGCGUGUAUGAAGAAGGCCUUCGGGUUGUAAAGUACUUUCAGCGAGGAGGCGUUACUCGCAGAAGAAGCACCGGCUAACUCCGUGCCAGCAGCCGCGGUAAUUC
rnacentral:rRNA from 1 species